rnacentral:rRNA from 1 species
AAUCUGAAUCAAACUAAGAAAUAAGUUAAAACUUUCAACAACGGAUCUCUUGGUUCUGGCAUCGAUGAAGAACGCAGCGAAAUGCGAUAAGUAAUGUGAAUUGCAGAAUUCAGUGAAUCAUCGAAUCUUUGAACGCACAUUGCGCCCAUUAGUAUUCUAGUGGGCAUGCCUGUUCGAGCGUCAUUUCAACCCUUAAGCCUAGCUUAGUGUUGGGAGACUGCCUAAUACGCAGCUCCUCAAAACCAGUGGCGGAGUCUGUUCGUGCUCUGAGCGUAGUAAUUUUUUAUCUCGCUUCUGCAAGCCGGCCAGACGACAGCCAUAAACCGCACCCUCUCGGGGGGCACUUUUUUAAUGGUUGACCUCGGAUCAGGUAGGAAUACCCGCUGAACUUAAGCAUAUCAAUAAGCGGAGGAAAAGAAACCAACAGGGAUUGCCCUAGUAACGGCGAGUGAAGCGGCAACAGCUCAAAUUUGAAAUCUGGCCUUCUGGUCCGAAUUGUAAUUUGUAGAGGAUGCUUUUGGUUAGGUACCUUUC